rnacentral:rRNA from 1 species
CCUACGGGAGGCAGCAGUGGGGAAUAUUGGGCAAUGGGCGCAAGCCUGACCCAGCAAAGCCGCGUGAAGGAAGAAGGCUUUCGGGUUGUAAACUUCUUUUCUGAGGGACGAAGAAAGUGACGGUACCUCAGGAAUAAGCCACGGCUAACUACGGGCCAGCGGACGCGGUCAUACGUAGGUGGCAAGCGUUAUCCGGAUUUAUGGGGUGUAAAGGGCGUGUAGGCGGGAAAGCAAGUCAGAUGUGAAAACUCAGGGCUUAACCCUGAGCCUGCAUUUGAAACUGUUUUUCUUGAGUGCUGGAGAGGCAAUCGGAAUUCCGGGUGUAGCGGUGAAAUGCGUAGAUAUACGGAGGAACACCAGUGGCGAAGGCGGAUUGCUGGACAGUAACUGACGCUGAGGCGCGAAAGCGUGGGGAGCAAACAGGAUUAGAUACCCUUGUAGUC